rnacentral:rRNA from 1 species
AUUGAACGCUAGCGGGAUGCCUUACACAUGCAAGUCGAACGGCAGCGCGGACUUCGGUCUGGCGGCGAGUGGCGAACGGGUGAGUAAUGUAUCGGAACGUGCCCAGUAGCGGGGGACAACCACUCGAAAGAGUGGCUAAUACCGCAUACGCCCUACGGGGAAAGGGGGGAGUCGGCAAGACCUCUCACUAUUGGAGCGGCCGAUAUCGGAUUAGCUAGUUGGUGGGUAAAGGCCUACCAAGGCGACGAUCCGUAGCUGGUUUGAGAGGACGACCAGCCACACUGGGACUGAGACACGGCCCAGACUCCUACGGGAGGCAGCAGUGGGGAAUUUUGGACAAUGGGGGAAACCCUGAUCCAGCCAUUCCGCGUGUGCGAUGAAGGCU